rnacentral:tRNA from 1 species
GGAGAGAUGGCCGAGAGGUCGAAGGCGGCAGACUCGAAAUCUGUUGUACCGCGUGCGGUACCUAGGGUUCGAAUCCCUAUCUCUCCGCCA